rnacentral:rRNA from 1 species
GAUGAACGCUAGCGGCAGGCUUAAUACAUGCAAGUCGAGGGGCAACAGGGGUAGCAAUACCUGCUGGCGACCGGCAAACGGGUGCGGAACACGUACAGAACCUUCCUUUAAGCGGGGGAUAGCCCAUAGAAAUGUGGAUUAAUACCCCAUAGUAAUGCUGGUUGGCAUCAACUGGUAUUUAAAGAUUUAUCACUUAAAGAUGGCUGUGCGGCUGAUUAGGUAGUUGGUGGAGGUAACGGCUCACCAAGCCUUCGAUCAGUAACUGGUGUGAGAGCACGACCAGUCACACGGGCACUGAGACACGGGCCCGACUCCUACGGGAGGCAGCAGUAAGGAAUAUUGGGCAAUGGACGCAAGUCUGACCCAGCCAUGCCGCGUGAAGGAUGAAGGUCCUCUGGAUUGUAAACUUCUUCUAUAGGGGAAGAAAUGCCUUGUUUUUCAACGGGUUUGACGGUACCAGAGGAAUAAGCACCGGCUAACUCCGUGCCAGCCGCCGC